UACGAAGGGGGCUAGCGUUGCUCGGAAUCACUGGGCGUAAAGGGUGCGUAGGCGGGUCUUUAAGUCAGGGGUGAAAUCCUGGAGCUCAACUCCAGAACUGCCUUUGAUACUGAAGAUCUUGAGUUCGGGAGAGGUGAGUGGAACUGCGAGUGUAGAGGUGAAAUUCGUAGAUAUUCGCAAGAACACCAGUGGCGAAGGCGGCAUCCUGGACCGGUAUUGACGCUGAGGCGCGAAAGCCAGGGGAGCGAACGGG
rnacentral:rRNA from 1 species